rnacentral:tRNA from 1 species
GUCCCCUUCGUCUAGAGGCCCAGACACCGCCUUUCACGGCGGUAACAGGGGUUCGAAUCCCCUAGGGGACGCCA